CCUACGGGAGGCAGCAGUGAGGAAUAUUGGUCAAUGGACGAGAGUCUGAACCAGCCAAGUAGCGUGAAGGAUGACUGCCCUAUGGGUUGUAAACUCCUUUUAUAUGGGAAUAAAAUGUUCCACGUGUGGGAUUUUGUAUGUACCAUAUGAAUAAGGAUCGGCUAACUCCGUGCCAGCAGCCGCGGUAAUACGGAGGAUCCGAGCGUUAUCCGGAUUUAUUGGGUUUAAAGGGAGCGUAGGUGGAUUGUUAAGUCAGUUGUGAAAGUUUGCGGCUCAACCGUAAAAUUGCAGUUGAAACUGGCAGUCUUGAGGACAGUAGAGGUGGGCGGAAUUCGUGGUGUAGCGGUGAAAUGCUUAGAUAUCACGAAGAACUCCGAUUGCGAAGGCAGUUCACUGGACUGCAACUGACACUGAGGCUCGAAAGUGUGGUUAUCAAACAGGAUUAGAUACCCCUGUAGUC
rnacentral:rRNA from 1 species